UACGGAGGUGGCGAGCGUUGUCCGGAAUCACUGGGCGUAAAGGGCGCGUAGGCGGCCGUGUAAGUCACUUGUGAAAAUCCCGGGGCGUCAACUCCGGGGACCUGCAGGUGAGACUGACAUGGCUAGAGCUCGGUAGAGGCAAGUGGAAUUCCCGGUGUAGCGGUGGAAUGCGUAGAUAUCGGGAAGAACACCGGUGGCGAAGGCAAUCCCCUGGACCUGUACUAACGCUCAUGCAACGAAAGCGUGGGGAGCAAACAGG
rnacentral:rRNA from 1 species